AACGAACGCUGGCGGCAUGCCUAACACAUGCAAGUCGAACGAGACCUUCGGGUCUAGUGGCGCACGGGUGCGUAACGCGUGGGAACCUGCCCUUAGGUUCGGAAUAACUCCCCGAAAGGGGUGCUAAUACCGGAUAAUGUCUUCGGACCAAAGAUUUAUCGCCUUUGGAUGGGCCCGCGUUGGAUUAGCUAGUUGGUAGGGUAAAAGCCUACCAAGGCGACGAUCCAUAGCUGGUCUGAGAGGAUGAUCAGCCACACUGGGACUGAGACACGGCCCAGACUCCUACGGGAGGCAGCAGUGGGUAAUAUUGGACAAUGGGCGAAAGCCUGAUCCAGCAAUGCCGCGUGAGUGAUGAAGGCCUUAGGGUUGUAAAGCUCUUUUACCCGGGAUGAUAAUGACAGUACCGGGAGAAUAAGCGCCGGCUAACUCCGUG
rnacentral:rRNA from 1 species